GCUUAGCUCAGCUGGUUUAGAGCAUCUGCCUUACAAGCAGAGGGUCGGCGGUUCGAAUCCGUCAGCGC
rnacentral:tRNA from 2 species